GUCACGCCCGAAGUCAUUACCUCAACCGCAAGGAGGGGGAUGCCUAAGGCAGGGCUAGUGACUGGGGUGAAGUCGUAACAAGGUAGCCGUACCGGAAGGUGUGGCUGGAUCACCUCCUUAAAGGGAGACCUAAUUCCGGUAGGAGACGAAAAAAAAGUAGUCGCUACCAAGAAUCAAUCCCAAAAGGUCGGAGCGAGGCAAAAUUGGCUUUCAAACUAGGUUCUGGGUUCACACAAGACCUGAAUCAGGAACAAGGGCUAUUAGCUCAGGUGGUUAGAGCGCACCCCUGAUAAGGGUGAGGUCCCUGGUUCGAGUCCAGGAUGGCCCACCUGUACAGGUGGCAAAAACAAGAGAAGCGAGGAAUCAGCACCUUAUCUUACUGACAUAGUAAGAGAGAAUGCUGGCUCUGAGUAAAGAGUCCAGAGGAACCUUGAAAACUGCAUAGAGCUAGGUGAAAAAGCCAAAAAAGAAGACCGCAAGGUCAAGCUAAUAAGGGCUAACGGUGGAUACCUAGGCACACAGAGG
rnacentral:misc_RNA from 1 species